ensembl:snoRNA
CUAUUACUAUGAUGGUUGCAUAGUUCAACAGAUUGAAUCUUGAAAGAGAUAUACCAUUUAUCUGAUGUAGAAG